AUACGUAGGUCCCGAACGUUGCGCGAAAUUACUGGGCGUAAAGGGUCCGUAGGCGGUCUGGUAAGUGGAAGGUGAAAGCCUGGGGCUCAACUCCAGAAUUUCCUUCCAAACUGCCGGACUUGAGGCAGGGAGCGGUCGGCGGAAUUCCCGGUGUAGUGGUGAAAUGCGUAGAUAUCGGGAGGAACACCAGUGGCGAAGGCGGCCGACUGGAACUGUCCUGACGCUGAGGGACGAAAGCCAGGGGAGCGAACCGGAUUAGAAACCCUAGUAGUCC
rnacentral:rRNA from 1 species